rnacentral:lncRNA from 1 species
CGGUCCUUGAGGAUCUUAUUCCUGCUCCCUGGUGCUGGAGUUCCCAUUCUGCUGAUCCUGGUCUCUUCUUUCCCCAAAAGGGGUGCCUGGUUGGCCACUGUCAGAAGAAGAUGCUGGACUAGAAGCCACUUUGGCCAGAUCAUCAGGACUCUUCUAACAUUUUGUUGUUGUUGUUUAGUCGUUUAGUCGUGUCCGACUCUUCGUGACCCCCGUGGACCAGAGCACGCCAGGCACUCCUGUCUUCCACUGCCUCCCGCAGUUUGGGCAAACUCAUGCUGGUAGCUUCGAGAACACUGUCCAACCAUCUCGUCCUCUGUCGUCCCCUUCUCCUUGUGCCCUCCAUCUUUCCCAACAUCAGGGUCUUUUCCAGGGAGCCUUCUCUUCUCAUGAGGUGGCCAAAGUAUUGGAGUCUCAGCUUCAGGAUCUGUCCUUCCAGUGAGCACUCAGGGCUGAUUUCCUUCAGAAUGGAGAGGUUUGAUCUUCUUCCAGAGGCCCCUUUUUGAGUCGACCGCCUGUGAUUGCUGCGUCCUUCCGCUUUCUCAUUUCUAGCCUCGUGCUACCGCCUCCUCAAGUGUUUUGGUUACAAAGGAGGCUGAGCAUAGGCGCUGCAAGGAGAGAUGUGGUGAGCUGGUUGGAACAUCGGUUGUUCCACCCAGCAGCUUUUGGUGUCCUCAAGGCCUAUGAGCUGAGCUGUGUGCUGCGCUGGUGGCCCAGGUGCAAUGCUUUGUGGUGGCUGGGAGGAAAGGAGGUGAUGACGGUUCAGUUCCUCUUGUCUUUGCGUCUGACAGUCUGGCAGAGUCAGGGAGAGACAGCCCAUCCUCUCUUUGAAAGCAGAGAGACAGCGGUGGAGCAGAGGACACAGCCAUUGGCCUUCGAGGGACGCCGGCCGAGCAUGAAAUUUGCUGCUUUGAUAACAGCCUGUCUGCGGAUCCUCCUUUGGAGAUCAGUCCAUGCAGAGAUCCCACCUGCAGCAAUUCUUUCCUUGGAUCCCCAGCACCCCGUCUACAUCAAAGGUGAAAAGGUGAUUCUCACUUGUUCGGCUCCUGUUGGCCCGAAGGUGGCAGGAUAUACGUUCUUCAAAGAACAGCAAGACCAGACCUUCAAGGAGUUGCCCAAUAGUGGAAUGGGGCCUUAUGAGAUGUUCCGUGUCAGUGAAGAUACUGUUGGGAAUUACAGCUGUGUUUACUGGAUCAUGCCCUCAGGACAGGAAAUCUGGUCCGCACAGAGCAACCUUGUCUCUGUAGCCAUGGCAGGUGAGCAUCUUUGCAUUUUGCUGUUUGGCGUUGUCUCUUUCAUUCGCAACACAAGAGAGAGAGAGGAGCACUGUGUUCUGAAAGAAGGAUUUCAAUUUUUUAAUAUAUAAAUUUAUUUACCGUAUUUUUCGCCCUAUAGGACACACUUUUUCCCCUCCAAAAAUGAAGGGGAAAUCUGGGUGCGUCCUAUGGGGCGAAUGCAGGCUUUUGCUGAAGCUUGGAGAGCGAGAGGGGUCGGUGCGCACCGACCCCUCUCACCCUCCAGGCUUCAGGAAGACAUCCGCAGCCUAGGCAGCCCUACGGAAGGUCCGGCAGGGAUGUCUAGGCUGCGGAUAGCAGCCUGCUGCCCAGCGCGAGGGGCACCCUGAAGCAGAGCGCCCCCGCGCCAGGCAGACAUCCGCAGCGUGGGGAGCCUUGCAGGAGUUCCCCGCAAGGCUCCCCACGCUGCGGAUAGCAGCCUGCCGCCCGGCGGGCGGGGCGCCCUAAUGCAGAGCGCCCCUCGCGCGGGGCAGACAUCGGCCAGCCCCACAAGCUCGGGGGACAGCAGGGAGGCGCAGCGCCGCCAUCCCGCUGUUCCUCGACUUGGUUCUGUUUCCCCGACCUGCUUUUGGGGGGAAAUAAAGGGAAUUUUUUCCCCUUUAUUUCCCCCCCAAAAAACAAGGUGCGUCCUAUGGGACGGAGCGUCCUAUGGGACGAAAAAUACGGUAUUUGGUUUUUCAGACUAAAAUUUUACACUCACAUCCAACAUAGAAACAAGAUUCCAAAAAAUCGCCUGGACUUCCCUCCUCCCUUUUUGUUAAUCCCAUUGUUGAUCAUUUCCUCCUGCAUCUUUUAUGAUAAUCCAAAUCUUUUACCUCUCCAUUGUGUCCAAAAUUCGCCAUUAAACUACAAGUGUUAUUCCAAGCCUACUAACAAUUUUAACUGUUUACAAUGGUUUUUAAGAUAAAUUAUAAUUUUUCCCCAUUUCUUAUUAAAAUGUUGGUCUUCCUGAUUUCUGAUUGUUCC